UGGGCGCAGCCUGAUCAGCCAUGCCGCGUGAGUGAUGAAGGCCCUAGGGUUGUAAAGCUCUUUCACCGGUGAAGAUAAUGACGGUAACCGGAGAAGAAGCCCCGGCUAACUUCGUGCCAGCAGCCGCGGUAAUUGAA
rnacentral:rRNA from 1 species